CCUACGGGUGGCUGCAGUGAGGAAUAUUGGUCAAUGGGCGCGAGCCUGAACCAGCCAAGUCGCGUGAGGGAAGACGGUCCUAUGGAUUGUAAACCUCUUUUGUCGGGGAGCAAAAGGCGCCACGCGUGGCGUUCCGAGCGUACCCGAAGAAAAAGCAUCGGCUAACUCCGUGCCAGCAGCCGCGGUAAUACGGGGGAUUCGAGCGUUAUCCGGAUUUAUUGGGUUUAAAGGGUGCGCAGGCGGAAGACAAAGUCAGCGGUAAACUUGAGGGGUUCAACCUCUUCGAGCCGUUGAAACUGGUGUACUUGAGUGAGCGAGAAGUAUGCGGAAUGCGUGGUGUAGCGGUGAAAUGCAUAGAUAUCACGCAGAACUCCGAUUGCGAAGGCAGCAUACCGGCGCUCAACUGACGCUGAUGCACGAAAGUGUGGGGAUCGAACAGGAUUAGAUACCCGGGUAGUC
rnacentral:rRNA from 1 species